rnacentral:rRNA from 1 species
ACUUAAAUUGAAGAGUUUGAUCAUGGCUCAGAUUGAACGCUGGCGGCAGGCCUAACACAUGCAAGUCGAGCGGUAGCACAGGAGAGCUUGCUCUCCGGGUGACGAGCGGCGGACGGGUGAGUAAUGUCUGGGAAACUGCCUGAUGGAGGGGGAUAACUACUGGAAACGGUAGCUAAUACCGCAUAACGUCGC